rnacentral:lncRNA from 1 species
GGCCCGGUGUUGGGAGGAAGAAAAGUCAGGACCAGCCAGGCUGGGGACAGACCAGGGCCUGUUGCUUGUGGUCCCCCAGUCGGCCGUGGGUCCCUCGGCCUCCUGCAGGUGCUCGGCUCACCUGCUCUGUGCUCCACAGCCCAGGGCGCAGCAGGCACCCUAAGGACAGCCCCACCCCCCGGGUCCGGGCCAGCUCCACAGGCUCCUCCUGGUCCAAACAUGGCGAGACCGGCACUGUUUCAAGGGCAGCUGGAGUCCAGUGUAUGCUGACCAGCGUGGUGCCUCGGCGGGCUGUCCGCAGGGCCACAAGGUGGACAGGCACCCACAGCUCCGCCCCCUCACCAGGUCCACCGCUGCAGACCCGAGGCCCCGGCGCGGCGCGGCGCGGCGCGGCUCUACCAGCGGCCGUGCUACACUCACACGCGCACACUCGCAUAGGCCUCUGCGCACGCUUCCCUCUGCCCGGAACGCAGGUCAGAGCUCCCAUGAAACGCCCUCCACGGAGGCCCAGUCGGGGCUGCUCCCUCCUCUGCUCGCGGAACCAACUGUCACAGGGCGUGCGUUUCACACUCCUUGUGCCACUGGGAUUUGGUUACCUGUGUGCCCUCUUACACCACGAGGUGCUCAAGGUCGGGAGCUGCGAAUCCAUGUGCACUGAGAACUGUGCCGAGACACAGCAGGUAUUCGUUUGGAUGAAGAACACAUUCAGCUCUCUGGAAGAUCUUUGCAGUUAACUAUGACAUAAGGAGCAACAACAUCCUGGGCUCUGAUGGGGUGCCGCACUACUGGGCACCAUCACACUGUACAGUGAGCACACGGCAGCACAGCUGUGCCUGUGCCAGGCAGACACAUGAGCUACUUCUGCAGUUUGUUCGAGAUUACAACCACCAAAGUUCGCAACGCGAAGUCCAUUCAUAUUGGUGAAAGCUUGCAACUGGAAUGUUCCUAAAUCUGGGACUUACUGUAAACUACUUCCACAGUACGCCUGGCUCAGUAUUCUGGCCUAAUAGAUAGUUGUAGAGAAAAAUCAAACUAGGGGAAACAAAAUCAGACAAAUAUUUAUAAUGGUAAUAAUCUGAAACUUUCCCCUCCUUUUCAUGAAAUAACAAUUCUACACAAGAUUUUUGGGUUUUUCGGUUGCUUUUUUUUUAGACAGGACCUCACUGUGUAGUUCAGGCUGGCCUUCAACUAUGUAGCCCAGGCUGGCCUCGAACAUGUAGCUAUCCUCCGGCCUCUGCCUCCCGGGUGUUGGGAUCACAGGUGUGCGCCACCACGCCGGGCAAGAUUUUAAUUCUGCAGUGACUCGCCCCUGUAGGAAACCUAGGAUGCAGUCUCUUACCGACGGGGUCUGGAGUUUGUUAAAACUCAUCAGUAGAGGCAAAUUUCAUCAACUUUCUGGGACAAUGCAAAAGCAAAACGACUAAAAAGCUCUUCUGUGUUUACACAUCCGAUAAAAAUGUAUUCUCAUAUUCUUACAAAGAUACACAAAGGAUCGCCGUCAUGACGUCACGCUCACAAGGGUGACCCCGGGGCGCCUGUGACACCCCUGUAUCCAGACUCACGACGCUGUGACUCUCAACACGGAACCAGCGACGCACUAACCACUGCUCAUGCGGGAUCAAAGUCACUUUAAAGAGCUGGGCUUAGAACAAGAGUUUUAAUAAUCAGCAUUUAUCGGCCCAAACACGGUGUUUAAAUCUAAGUUCAGAGAUUAAAGACGAGUGUGAGUGACAAAGGAAAACGGGCUGCUUAUAAAGAGGAAACCGAGGGCAGGAGAACCUCUGGCAUCAAGGAGAGGAAAAACAGAGACGUGGAGCGCUGCGCCCCGGCCUGGUCCGCACCGCGAGAUCCGGCGGCAGAGGAGG